GGAGGUAUAGCUCAGUGGUAGAGAGCAUGCUUAGCAUGCACGAGGUCCUGGGUUCAAUCCCCAGUACCUCCA
rnacentral:tRNA from 1 species